rfam:Loxodonta africana unplaced genomic scaffold scaffold_13, whole genome shotgun sequence.
AGUGGCUAAGUGUUUGGCUGCUAACCAAAAGGUCGGUAGUUCAAAUCCACCAGCUGCUC